rnacentral:rRNA from 1 species
AUUGAACGCUGGCGGCAGGCCUAACACAUGCAAGUCGAGCGGAUGAAGGGAGCUUGCUCCUGGAUUCAGCGGCGGACGGGUGAGUAAUGCCUAGGAAUCUGCCUGGUAGUGGGGGAUGACGUCCGGAAACGGGCGCUAAUACCGCAUACGUCCUGAGGGAGAAAGUGGGGGAUCUUCGGACCUCACGCUAUCAGAUGAGCCUAGGUCGGAUUAGCUAGUUGGUGGGGUAAAGGCCUACCAAGGCGACGAUCCGUAACUGGUCUGAGAGGAUGAUCAGUCACACUGGAACUGAGACACGGUCCAGACUCCUACGGGAGGCAGCAGUGGGGAAUAUUGGACAAUGGGCGAAAGCCUGAUCCAGCCACGCCGCGUGUGUGAAGAAGGUCUUCGGAUUGUAAAGCACUUUAAGUUGGGAGGAAGGGCAGUAAGUUAAUACCUUGCUGUUUUGACGUUACCAACAGAAUAAGCACCGGCUAACUUCGUG